rnacentral:rRNA from 1 species
GACGAACGCUGGCGGCGUGCUUAACACAUGCAAGUCGAACGGAAAGGCCCUGCUUUUGUGGGGUGCUCGAGUGGCGAACGGGUGAGUAACACGUGAGUAACCUGCCCUUGACUUUGGGAUAACUUCAGGAAACUGGGGCUAAUACCGGAUAGGAGCUCCUGCUGCAUGGUGGGGGUUGGAAAGUUUCGGCGGUUGGGGAUGGACUCGCGGCUUAUCAGCUUGUUGGUGUGGUAGUGGCUUACCAAGGCUUUGACGGGUAGCCGGCCUGAGAGGGUGACCGGCCACAUUGGGACUGAGAUACGGACCAGAAUCCUACGGGAGGCAGCAGUGGGGAAUAUUGCACAAUGGGCGGAAGCCUGAUGCAGCAACGCCGCGUGCGGGAUGACGGCCUUCGGGUUGUAAACCGCUUUCGCCUGUGACGAAGAGUGAGUGACGGUAAUGGGUAAAGAAGCACCGGCUAACUACGUG